UAUGGAGAGUUUGAUCCUGGCUCAGGACGAACGCUGGCGGCGUGCUUAACACAUGCAAGUCGAGCGAUGAAGUUUCUUCGGAAAUGGAUUAGCGGCGAACGGGUGAGGAACACGUGAAGAAUCUGCCCUCCACUUUGGGAUAACACCGGGAAACCGGUGCUAAUACCGAAUAUUGAAACAUAAGUGGCAUCCGGCCACACUGGGACUGAGACACGGCCCAGACUCCUACGGGAGGCAGCAGUGGGGAAUAUUGGGCAAUGGAGGAAACUCUGACCCAGCGACGCCGCGUGCGGGAUGAAGGCCUUCGGGUUGUAAACCGCUUUCAGUAGGGAAGAAGCGAAAGUGACGGUACCUACAAAAGAAGCACCGGCUAACUAUGUGCCAGCAGCCGCGGUAAUACAUAGGGUGCAAGCGUUGUCCGGAAUUAUUGGGCGUAAAGAGCUCGUAGGUCGUUUGUUACGUCGGAUGUGAAAACCUGAGGCUCAACCUCAGGCCUGCAUUCGAUACGGGCAAACUAGAGUUUGGUAGGGGAGACUGGAAUUCCUGGUGUAGCGGUGGAAUGCGCAGAUAUCAGGAGGAACACCAAUGGCGAAGGCAGGUCUCUGGGCCAAUACUGACACUGAGGAGCGAAAGUCUGGGGAGCGAACAGGAUUAGAUACCCUGGUAGUCCAGACCGUAAACGGUGGGCACUAGUUGUGGGAACCUUCCACGGUUUCUGCGACGCAGCUAACGCAUUAAGUGCCCCGCCUGGGGAGUACGAUCGCAAGAUUAAAACUCAAAGGA
rnacentral:rRNA from 1 species